GGGGUUGACCGGUUUUGACAGCUUGUAGAAUGGUCAUGUAAGCAUGCUGAGCCUCGCAGUGACGCUCAUAAAUCUUGACUGCAAAAAAUUAAUUGGCGAAAAUAACUACGCUCUCGCUGCUUGAUCGAAGAACAGUAGAUCGUUGCUUUAUUCAUUUACAAGGUAGAUGAACGAGACAUCUCGCGGAUGGACCUUCCUGAUUCCGGUCCGGGUCCGAGGUGCUCAUCAAUUUCAGGAUAGCGAUGC
rnacentral:tmRNA from 1 species